ensembl:lncRNA
AACAAGAAGAGAAAUAGUCUCAGGGAAUAUGAUGUAAUGUCCAAAGAUGACAAAGAAAAGGCAACUGACUCAAAGUUACUCUUGGGCAAGUCAUUUCAUCUCUCCACGACACAGUUUCCUGCCUCUUCAACAAGCGAAAAGUGUUGGACACCAGGGUUGCAUCUAACUUAAUUUUGUUUCCGAUGUUCAUUAAGAAGAAUGAUCUUCAAGCUAGGAAGGAGAGUGUAUAUACCAAAGCGCUUUAUUAUAGCCAUAGCACCGUGAGAAAAUACAGGUUGAAUUAAUAAAUGGAACAGCUACUACAAGUACACUAAAAAGUAAGGACUUUCAACCGAGACUUGGAUGAAGAUAUCAAAGGCCCACUUUUGGAAUUUACAGACAGCACAAACCUGGAUUGGGAAAAAAAUAAAGAAUUUUUGUGGCCAGCAUAUUGGAAACAUUGUGGAAGAAUAGUUCCUCUUCACAUAAAGGUUACCUCUGUAAAGCUGCCAAGGUCAGAACCCUGGUGGGUUAUCUGCCAAAUGUGGAAACUGACAACCGAGAUGGUAAAUAAUUCAUCCAGGUUCACACAGCCUCUGACAAAGAAAGGUCUAUCUGACUUCAAAUUGGUUCCUGUUAGUCAUGUAGCUACACCGUCUUUCGGUGUAUGAAUUAUGCACACCAAAGCCAGAUGGUGCAUAUGUUGUAAAUUUGCAAAACAUUUCAUCUGCCUAGUGAAAAGCGUGAACGAGAAGAGAAAGACAUGAUUAGUCAUCCUUUGAUAUACAAAUGUUGGAUUGCACUAAGGGGAGAUCUUUUCCUCAAGCAUAGAACAAGAACCGUGACAAAAAUACGCAGCUCAAACAAACAUGGUUUUUUAACAGAAUAGCAAAUCUAAGAACCAAAAGAACAUAAUGCAGUUAAAAAGCAUGAAAAUAUAGAUAAGUUAUCUUAAAAUUUUGUCUUUCCUACUUAUUAUCAAGUGCUUUGGAAAGUAUUUGUUUAUAUCUAUGCACUUUUCAAAUAUUUAUGCCUGAUCCACAAAGAGUAAUAUAUAAAUUUAACAUGAUUUUGGCUUCAAAUAUUCCUUUUUUCUUUGAGAAUUUCUGCUAAAAUUGCCUUUAGAAUGCAUGAAUCUUUCCUUUUGGUCAUGGAGUCCAUCUGUUGUUGUGCACAAAGCCAGGGCCAAUUAAGAGAAAGCACCAGGAUAGAAUUUCAUUGGAACUAGUAGGAAACAUUUCUGAUCAUUUUUUGAAUAAUUUGCUCUUUUUAAACAAAUGUACCUGGCUUAAUAUAAAUUAACAGCUGGUCAGUUCAUGACACAAUAAAAUAAUAACAAGUUCCACCCACAAACUAACAGAUUGCAUUUUAGGUACUGAAAAAAGACAGUCAAAUUUGCUAAUUAAUUUUUUGAUGUCAAAAAUAAUUUCAGCAUCUUUUUUAAAGGAUCUUUUUUUUUUUUAAAAGAUUUUAUUUUUUCCUUUUUCUCCCCAAAGCCCCCCGGUACAUAGUUGUAUCUUCUUCGUUGUGGGUCCUUCCAGUUGUGGCAUGUGGGAUGCUGCCUCAGCGUGGUCUGAUGAGCAGUGCCAUGUCCACGCCCAGGAUUCCAACCAACGAAACACUGGGCCGCCUGCAGCGGAGCGCGCGAACUUAACCACUCGGCCACGGGGCC